AGUCUUACCUGGCAGGGGCAAUAUCAUGAUCAUGCAGGGGGUUUGCCCGGGGUGGGGCUCCACCACUGCACUCCGCUGUGCUGACCCCUGCGAAUUCCCCCAUGUGGGAAUCUCGACUGCAGAAUUUCUGCUAGAGGGGGACUGGUUGCCGGUGCAAAUCCUGU
ensembl:snRNA U1 U1 spliceosomal RNA